UCUAUGGAUCAGUAAUGAGAAGAUGAC
rnacentral:piRNA from 1 species